GACGAACGCUGGCGGCGUGCUUAACACAUGCAAGUCGAACGGAAAGGCCCUGCUUUUGUUGGGUGCUCGAGUGGCGAACGGGUGAGUAACACGUGAGUAACCUGCCCUUGACUUUCGGAUAACUUCAGGAAACUGGGGCUAAUAUCGGAUAUGAGCUCCUGCUGCAUGGUGUUGGUUGGAAAAUUGCGGUGGUUGGGGAUGGACUCGCGGCUUCUCCGCUUGUUGGUCUGGUAGUGGCUUACCAAGGCUUUGACGGGUAGCCGGCCUGAGAGGGUGACCGGCGACAUGGGGACUGAGAGACGCACCAGACGGGAAAGGGAGGCAACAGUGGGGAAUAUGACAGAAUGAGGGGAAGCCUGAUGCAGAAACGCCGGGAGCGGGAUGACCGGCUUCGGGUUGUGAACCGCUUUGGCAUGUAACGAAGAGGGAGUGACGGUAAUGGGUAAAGAAGCACCGGCUAACUACGUG
rnacentral:rRNA from 1 species